rnacentral:rRNA from 1 species
CCUACGGGGGGCAGCAGUGAGGAAUAUUGGUCAAUGGACGAGAGUCUGAACCAGCCAAGUAGCGUGAAGGAUGACUGCCCUAUGGGUUGUAAACUUCUUUUAUAUGGGAAUAAAACGUUCCACGUGUGGGAUUUUGUAUGUACCAUAUGAAUAAGGAUCGGCUAACUCCGUGCCAGCAGCCGCGGUAAUACGGAGGAGCCGAGCGUUAUCCGGAUUUAUUGGGUUUAAAGGGAGCGUAGGUGGAUUGUUAAGUCAGUUGUGAAAGUUUGCGGCUCAACCGUAAAAUUGCAGUUGAAACUGGCAGUCUUGAGUACAGUAGAGGUGGGCGGAAUUCGUGGUGUAGCGGUGAAAUGCUUAGAUAUCACGAAGAACUCCGAUUGCGAAGGCAGUUCACUGGACUGCAACUGACACUGAGGCUCGAAGGUGUGGGUAUCAAACAGGAUUAGAUACCCCGGUAGUC